rnacentral:rRNA from 1 species
UACGUAGGGGGCAAGCGUUGUCCGGAAUUAUUGGGCGUAAAGAGCGUGUAGGCGGUCCGGUAAGUCAGCUGUGAAAGUCAAGGGCUCAACCCUUGAAAGCCGGUUGAUACUGUCGGGCUAGAGUCCGGAAGAGGCGAGUGGAAUUCCCGGUGUAGCGGUGAAAUGCGCAGAUAUCAGGAGGAACACCAAUAGCGAAGGCAGCUCGCUGGGACGGUACUGACGCUAAGGCGCGAAAGCGUGGGGAGCGAACAGG